CAACACACUAACACAUCACGACAGAAUCAAGAAAACUAACCAAGAAGAACUCAAAAGGAUAUCUAAUCAACACACCAACACAUCACAAUAGAAUCAAGAAAACUAACCAGUUCACGGAAGGCCACCCUUUUUGGUGAUCCAAAACUACAUAAAGCCUCAGCAAAUAGCUAACUCGUUUUGGAUAUGAUGAGAGGCCAUCCUGUCAAAAGGGGACGCAGAAGGGCGUGAUAGAGAGGUUAGAGGAGCUUAAUUACCAGUACUAGUAGGCACA
rnacentral:lncRNA from 1 species